rnacentral:lncRNA from 1 species
UUUUUUUUUUUUUUUUUUUGAUAUAGAGUCUCACUCUGUGGUCCAGGCUGAAGUACAGUGGCAUGAUCCCAGGUCACUGCAACCCCCACCUCCCGGGUUCAAGUGAUCCUCCUGCCUCAGCCUCCCGAGUAGCUGGUAUUACAGGCGUGUGCCACAAAGCCUGGCUAAGUUUUGUAUUUUUAGUAGAGACGGGGUUUCACCAUGUUGGCCAGGUUGGUCUCGAACUCCUGACCUCAAGUGAUCCACUCACUUUGGCCUUUCAACGUGCUGGGAUUACAGGCGAGAGUCACCGCACCCGGACGACUCUGACAUUUUUGAAGAGUCCAGAAUCCUGUUACACCUGGGAUUUAGGCACUUUCAAUCUGAAAAAAUACAUAUCCUUUCAGCACUCUGGACGGACUUGAGAACUGUCCUUACGUGACCUAAAGCUGGAGUAUUUUGAGAUUGGAGAAUUAAGGCCAACAGAGAUUUUGAGAAACACAUUGAAGGAUCUGUUAACACUUGAUAUACCCAAUAAAAGCAGUGGUUGUGCCAGUGCUGAUCUGUCUUGAUGUGAAUGUGAACAAUGGGAACCUGAGCUGAGCAGUUAAUGCUAGGGUGACAGAAACUGGACCUCUCCCAAGACAUGUGACAGAGUAAUACAGCAGCCAACUUCUUCGCCAAAUUAAAGUUUUACAAGAUUUAACCUGUCAUCAAGACCUGGGAUUUUGGUGAGCCAGUCUUGGUGCUCUGUGUUCACCUGGUUCAUCUGAGGAGCUGCAUCUACCCUGCCCAUGCCAUAGAUCCUGCCCUGUUUGCUUCUCCUGUUGCUGCUAGUGGACAUGAGGUAACCACAGCCUAGUUCUGUGAUAAGCUCUUCACACCUGUACCCAUAUGGACUGUGGGAGAGUUUCUCUGAUAUGGACUGUGAUGCGGAAGGACAGAAUAACGGGCUCCCAGAUUCACAAGCCCCACCAAGAGGAUCACCCCAGGAACGCUUGGAGGCUGAGGAGUUCACUGAGGCUACUGCAUCUUGAGACUCAGGAUGAAGACCCAGCUUGGGGCUGUCAAAGGUUUUUUGCAUGUCUGACACCCAUGACUCCACCUGGACCUUAUGGCUCCACCCAGAAGCAAUUCAGCCCAACAGGAGGACAGCUUCAACCCAUUACGAUUUCAUCUCUGCCCCAACCACUCAGCAGCAAGCACCUGUUACCUGUCCACCCCCACCCCUUCCCCCAAACUGCCUUUGAAAAAUCCCUAACCUAUGAGCUUUGAAUAAGAUGAGUACGAACUUCAUCGCCCACGUGGCGUGGCCGGCCUCGUGUCUAUUAAAUUCUUUUUCUACUACAA